AUGGCCAGCGGGAAUGGGCUCCCUUCAUCCUCUGCCCUGGUGGUCAAGCGUCCCUCUGCCCUGGGCCCAUUCCCCAGAUUUGUUUGGAUCCACCAGGACACCCCCCGAGAUAGCUUGGAUAAAACUUGCCAUGAAAUCUGGAAGAAAGUUCAAGACUUGCCUGAGGCCCUGCAGCCCGAGACCUCCAUGGAGCAGCUCUCUGCCCUCACAGCUGGGACACCAAGAGACUACUGUCUUGGCUUCCAAGAAGAAGCCCCGGAGCUCAGCAGGGACAGAGAUGAGAUUUCCCUCCUGGUGGAGCAGGAAUUCUUGAGCCUCACCAAGGAGCACCUCAUUCUGGUCCCAGAGAGCUCAGAGGAACUGAAGGCUACUAGUGAUGAUCCCCAGGGGACCAGAGAGCUGGCUCCUUGUGUUCUUGCACCUCUCCUGGUGGCAAGAAGCAGUGAGUGCCCAGGAGCCUCCCUCACUGAUGGCGACAGGCUUCAGGAGCAGAAGGUGGCCAUGUCAAUUAUUGGCAGACAGCAGGACUGCGAUUCUGCCAUGUCUACAGCAACAGGCAUCCUGUGUGCUGCCAAGAUCAGGGGUUCCAAUGGGAUGGAGGAUGGGGACCACAGCCUGGGUGACUGCACCUCGGAGAUCAGUAAGCUCUUGACCCAGUUUCCGCUGAAGUCUAUGGAAAUGUCCAAAGCCCCCGACGACAAGAUGGUGCUGAAGGAGACAAGAGUCAUCAAGGACUUCCUGCAGAACAGCAUUUUCAGUGACUCUGGACCCACAGAGCCCAUGGGGCUGGGCCCCUUCAGGCUGGUGCCUCCUCCACCUCCUCCUCCACCCCCAGACAAGCUUGCUGAUGAGCUCCCUGCCCAGAAGAACCAGCUGCCAGUGUUUGCCAAGAUCUGUUCCAACACUGAAGCUGACCCCGCCACGGAGGGGCAUCACUUGAUAGAAUGGAGCCCUGGCAUUAAGGAGUCAACCAAGAGUCAAGAGAGCCUCUUUCUCAGCCAGUGGCCCGAGAGCCAGAAGGACACCUGUGGUGAGGAGAGUCACAGUGACCCAGUGAGCACCAUGCCCACCAAGAAGCCUGCAUGGCCAGAUGAGAAGAACCUGCUCUGCAAGUUCCUUGGGACUACCAAGAACAACCCAAGUGGGCAACUGAAGCUUUGCAACAAAGUGGAGGUGGAUGCGCUGGAACUGAAGUUUAACCCACAGGUAAUGGUUGCAGAGAAGAACAACCCUAAGCACACAGGGAAUAUGUUCACCCCAUGCUUUGCCACAGCCUUGACCUCAACUACCAUGAGCCAGCCACCCUGGUUCAACCUGAACUGCCCACCUCCAGCAGUGUUCGCCAAUCACUCUGCCUUCCCACAGUAUCAGGGCAUGUACCCGCAGCAGUUACCAGGGAUGCCCUAUCAGCAAGCUGUGCCUCCUCAGCUGGGCUGCUACUCCCAACAGGUGACACUCUACAACACACAGCAGAUGGGCCAGCAGAUCUUCCGCUCUUCCUACAUCCCCCUGCUGAGCUACAUCCCCUUUGUCCAGCCCAACUUCCUGUACCCACAGAGGACACCUCAAAAGCUGCCCACCAAUCCCCGAGACCCUUCCCCCAUGGCAGGAGACGGGCCGAAGUACCUCUUCCCCCACGGAUACCGGUGAGUCCUCCACCUACAUUGGAGGUCCCGCUUGUAUCUGAAGAGCUUCUGGAGAGGGGAGGCGAGUGGGUUGGGCUCCACGGACCCUUUCUUGAUCUGUGUAUCCCAUGGCUGUGGGGAGGGGAGGGUCUUGUACAGUGA
rnacentral:lncRNA from 1 species